AGAAAAUGGAAGGAAGGGAAGGAUUCUGAGGAGAUAGAGAGAGGAAGAAAGAGCCUUCAUCCAUAGAGGAGCAUGUGCAUGCCAAAUUCUCUAGAGAAUGAAAGAAAGGAUUCUGACUAUUCAAGAUUUUAGAUUGAGUAUCCGAAUGGCAAACCCGGUGAUUGUAUGCUCCCAUACUGUGAAUGGUGUUUCCAAAGUACAUCCAGAAUUGCUAAAAGCAAAAUUAUUCAAGGACUUCUAUGAGCUGUGGCCUCAGAAAUUUCAAUGCAAGACAAAUGGUGUUACCCAGACCUUGUCUUGAAUCAGUGUCAUCAAGGGGCCCAAAGAACCACCUUCUUCAUCAUUCACAAAGUACUUAGACACAGGGCCAAGGCUGUAGACCCUCUGAAAAUCAGACCCACCAUUAGCAGCAACAGCAGAGCAAUUAAGAACAGAGUGGCUGGUGAGGAGCCUGAGGAUUCUAUCCACCAUCAUUGGUGCCUCAGGGUUCUUUGUGCCAAUCUUGGCUGCAAUGUCAGACGAAGAGAGCUUGGCACCUGGACCCUCUCUGGCUAUGAUGUCAAAAACCCCAAGCUUAAUUGCUGAUUGCAGAGACAUGGACAGCGCAGAAGAACCCACCAGCUGCAUGGCAUAGCAGAAGCUUUCUUCUUCCUCUUCCUUUGUAAUUUCAUCCCCAGGCUCAGCAUGAUUUAUUUUGGGAUGGCUUUUUCUCUCCAAUGAAGAAUCCAUUGGACUGUCUAUGUUUACGUUCUGAAACUCAUUGCUAAUGGAGUGGGUUUACUUAUAGCUAGGAAACAUGACAUACAAUUCACGUGGCUCUAGUAUAUAAUAUUAAGACAGUUGGAAUACCAAUUUAGUACUAUAUUGUUAAUAUA